rnacentral:rRNA from 1 species
CCUACGGGAGGCAGCAGUGAGGAAUAUUGGUCAAUGGGCGCAAGCCUGAACCAGCCAAGUCGCGUGAGGGAAGACGGCCCUACGGGUUGUAAACCUCUUUUGCCGGGGAGCAAGCCUGAGCACGUGUGCCCAGGCGGAGAGUACCCGGCGAAAAAGCAUCGGCUAACUCCGUGCCAGCAGCCGCGGUAAUACGGAGGAUGCGAGCGUUAUCCGGAGUUUUUGGGUUUAAGGGGUGCGCAGGCGGGCUGUUAAGCCGGCGGUAAAAAUUCAGGGCUCAACCCUGUCGAGCCGUCGAAACUGGCAGCUGAGAGAGGGCGUGAGGUAGGCGGAAUGCGAGGUGUAGCGGGGAAAUGCAUAGAUAUCAGGAAGAACGCCGAGUGAGAAGGCAGCAGACCGGCGCCCUACUGACGCGGAGGCACGAAAGCGUGGGGAUCAAACAGGAUUAGAUACCCUAGUAGUC